CAGCAGCCGCGGUAAUACGGGGGGGGGCAAGCGUUGUUCGGAAGUACUGGGCGUAAAGGGCGCGUAGGCGGUCCGCUAAGUUAGAUGUGAAAACUCUGGGCUCAACCCAGAGCCUGCAUCUAAUACUGACGGGCUAGAGUUCUGGAGGGGGUAGCGGAAUUCCUGGUGUAGCGGUGAAAUGCGUAGAUAUCAGGAGGAACACCGGUGGCGAAGGCGGCUACCUGGACAGAAACUGACGCUGAGGCGCGAAAGCUAGGGGAGCAAACAGGAUUAGAUACCCUGGUAGUCCUAGCCGUAAACGAUGAACACUAGGUGGGUGCCGAGCUAUCGGUGUCCGCCGCAGGCAAUUUGCUAAGUGCUCCGCCUGGGGGGUAUGGUCGCAAGGCUGAAACUCAAAGGAAUUGACGG
rnacentral:rRNA from 1 species